CCUACGGGAGGCAGCAGUGGGGAAUUUUGGACAAUGGGGGCAACCCUGAUCCAGCAAUGCCGCGUGAGUGAAGAAGGCCUUCGGGUUGUAAAGCUCUUUUGUGGAACGUCCGGUACCUGAAGAAUAAGCACCGGCUAACUACGUGCCAGCAGCCGCGGUAAUACGUAGGGUGCAAGCGUUAAUCGGAAUUACUGGGCGUAAAGCGUGCGCAGGCGGUUAUAUAAGUCAGAUGUGAAAUCCCCGGGCUCAACCUGGGAACUGCAUUUGAGACUGUAUGGCUAGAGUGUGUCAGAGGGGGGUAGAAUUCCACGUGUAGCAGUGAAAUGCGUAGAUAUGUGGAGGAAUACCGAUGGCGAAGGCAGCCCCCUGGGAUAAACUGACGCUCAUGCACGAAAGCGUGGGGAGCAAACAGGAUUAGAUACCCUUGUAGUC
rnacentral:rRNA from 1 species